CCAGCUUUGAGCCAAUUCCCAGGGCCAGAGCUGACCUUUGUGGGGUGACCUGAGUCUCUUGUUUUUUCUUAGAACCAGGCAGGGGGAGGCAGCCUCAUCCAAACUUCAAAGCUGGAAGAGGAAUGGGGAAGUCCCCCAGGGCAGGGAACAUGAAGGGCUACUUCUAGCAGGAGGAGGAGGAGUUGCUAGGUAGACUGAAGACAAACAGCUCUGGACACAUUGUGUGUAGGGCAGGGCUACACUGGGGGCUGGGCUCUCCAUGCUGCACCCCAGCUCUGUCUGUUGCCUAGCAACUCGAGUUGGCGCCACCACAAAGUGUAAACAUGGACCAAAGGAGAAGCCCUUUGGAGAAGAAGACGCCAAAGGGAAAGGGAAAAGUUCAGAAGGGCAGAAAGCAUUCAACUCUGCAACACUGUCAUCAUAUUCCACUUAUCAAAAAGUGAAUCCUGAGGACUGAAAUAAUUUGCAGAUGUGGUGGAGGAGCCGUUGCCAGCAACUCUGAGACCUGGGAAGAGGCUGGAGACUCCAGGCAGCCAAGGGAGAGGCUUCCUAAAGUCGAUGCGAGAGCCUGGCAGGCUGACUGGUGGAAUAAGCUCAGGCCCAGUGGAGGUGACAGGAAGUCUCAAUGGACAGCCCUUUCCGGAUGGGAGGCCCACCCAGGAGACAGGGCCAAGUCCCCAGAGCUCCUGUCAGAAUGGGAGGCACUGCUGCAGCUGGGAGAGGGAAGAGCCAGGUUACAGAGGGCCUUGUAAGCCUCAGUGAGCAUUUCGGUCUUGAACCCUGUGAACUCAGAAGUUACUGCACGGCUGACUCAGGAGACCACAGGAAAUGGCUUCUCUGGGGGCACAGAGCAUCAUAUCAGAAGUUGUGGGCAUUAGCAUAUCAGAGCCAACAGAUAUUCCUGGUUUCCAGGUGUGGAGUGGAAAUUCUGCCUUUAGGACACCAGCUGGCUGGUGUGGUGGUGCACACCUAUAAUCCCAGCACUAGGGAAGAUGAGCCAGGAGGAUCACAUGUUCAAGCCUGGCCUGGGUAAUUUAGCAAGACUAUCUCAAAAAAUGAAAAAAGGGCUGGAUGUAGCUCAGCGCAAAGACUCUGGGUUCAAUCUGCAAUACCACACAUACACAGAAGCCAAAAACCAAAAAAUGCUUUAUUUACAAAAGUCAGUCUAGCUGGGUUUGGUCUGUGGACCUGUUUGCUGAUCUCUAACAUAGAAAGAAUAUAUUAGGAACAUAUAAGGACUUGUAUCAGGAUGUCUAUUGCAUUAUUGUAGUUUGAAGAGGAAAAAAAGCCAAAGACCUGAUACAACCUACACAUCCACCAUUAGUUUAUGAGUUCAGUGUGAUGGUUGAGAAAUCCUGGCAAGUUUAUUCUACAGAUUUAAAGCAAAUGUUCAAGGGAACCAGUGAAUUAUGGGCCUCCUGACUUGGACGAGCAUCUAUAAGGUAUUAGGUGUACACAGCAGUCUGCAGAACAACACAACCGACCUGCACACCUGUCCACGCUGUGGCUCCGUAGGGCCCUGCUGUCACAGAAGGCCCUCCUCCGUCCCUCUGAUGCUGAGCCGGGCCAUGAGGCUCGCUGUGACUGUGGAGUGUUAGCAGGUGUGAGCAGAGCCCAUCCCUGUGCCUGCAUAGUCGCUGCUUGCGUUUUGGCAUUUGGGUGCUGAAGACAGAACACAGAGCCUUGAGCAGGCUAAGCCCAUCCCUCUACCACCAGAGCUCUGCCUCCAGUCCUGCCGUACAUGGUUCCCCGUGGUUUCUGUGCUCCCAGGGGCACCUCUCGAAGAACAUACCCUGAGUGGCCACUAGAGCAAGGUUGACAAGGAGCAGGCGAGGCAAGCCCAGCCCAGGCACCGCAGCCUGAAGCAGAACUGCCCAGCCUGCACCUGCAGAGCCAGGAGCUUAAGAGAAAAGGCUUUGGCCGGGCAUGGUGACGCAUGCCUGGAAUCCCAGCACUCGGAAGGCUGUGGCAGGAGGACCAACUUGAAUUCAAGGCCAGCCUGAUCUACACAGCAAGACCCUGUCCCCCUACAAAAACAAAUAAACAAAAAAGAAUAAAAGCUUAGGUCCAUGUUUUGCUGCUAUAACAAAAUACCAGAGGGGCCGGGGAUUUAGCUCAGUGGUUUCACCGCCUGCUGCGCAAGCACAAGGACCCAAGAUCGAUCCCUGGUACCAAAAAAAAAAACCCAACAAAAUACCAGAGGCUGGGUAAUUCAUAAAGAAAAUAAAUUGUGGGCCAGGUGUGGUAGGGUACCCCUGUAAUCCAGAACUUGAGAGGCUGAGACAGUAGGAUCCCUAUGAAUUUGAGACCAGCCUGGGCUACAUAGGGAGUUCAGAGCCAGCCUGAACUACG
rnacentral:lncRNA from 1 species